AAGUGCUAUGUAGCGUUGUGCGCGGGCUGAGUUCCCGCCGGUUCGCUGCGAGGAAUAAAGCUGUUCAGAUGGAAGACAGAAUUCGCGUGUUAUUAUUUUAUAGUCCACAAUUUUAAUAUUUAGUUUUUUCUUACUGAUUGUUCUGGCCUCUUCCACAGCUCGUGCCACACCUGUUAGUCAUGACAGACGAAUCAGGACAGAGCGACGCGUCUCAGGGCUGUGAUGUCAUCGUGUGUUUUCAGGUCAAAGUUAAAUCUUGCUAGCUUAAAAGCGUCUUGUCCGGCGUUCGGUUGCAUUAAAAGACACUCUGAGGAGUCGGCUGUUAUUUUUUCCCCGGAUAAAUACAUUUUGUUUUUCGCUAGCCAAAAUUAGAAUCCGAGUGAAUAUCUUAGUUAAUGUGAAUUACAGAUGCAACUUAACUAGUGCUAGUUAGCAAACAAGCUAGUGCUAGUUAGCUAAGAUAUCGGCUAACUAGCCGAUAUCGUAGCGUUUGCAGUGCAAUCAGUUCCUGGUAACCCGUGUUGACUAUAGUCAAACCAAAAAGUAAAUUUAACCAAUAUUAAGCUGACGAUGUUUGUUUUGUGGUUCUUGCAUCAGUUUAGCUUAGGUAAACAUAAUGUUUAGAAUAACUUAAACGUGGUUAAAACCCUACAGCCUGAACCUCCAUCCUCAAUGCAGACCGAGAUUUCUGCUAGAUGUUGAUGAUAGCCUGCAAAAAUGAUUGAUAAAAGAAAGAAUUGGACCCCAUCUAUUCAUCAUCUUGUCUGUGCAGUACAUGCUGUGAGGAGGAUCAGUUCUUCACGGACAAGAAGCUGGAGACAUCUCUUUGUGAGGAAAGGAAUGAAGUUUGAUCCCGAACUCUCAUCUUUUCUUCUAGACUGGCUCAAACAAACAAAGCCAAACAAGACAGCAGCCUCAUGUGCCUGUUUUGGAUCUACUCUCAGUGACUUUGGGUGGUGGAGUCUUAACCUUUCUGUGAUGGUGGACUGUCGUGGAGCCUAGUUGGACGCUGUAGAAACUAGGAUUGCCCAGUCUGGGGGGUAAAGACCAACACACAGAAAAAGUGGGAAAAACGGGAACCUCAGAUGCCACUAGAUCAGUUUCUUCUGCCAGUACCCAUCUCCAUCACUGCCACAUCAGCUGGUCCCAAGGUUGUGAGGUUAUCCGAACAUCUGGCCCCUCCGCCAUGUUUUCUAAGGUCAGUGGGUAGCAUCUGUUUAUAGACCCCGCCACCUUCAGUGUCUCUGACAACGAGGAUCACGCUGAGAAAA